rnacentral:rRNA from 1 species
UGGGGAAUAUUGGACAAUGGGCGAAAGCCUGAUCCAGCCAUGCCGCGUGUGUGAAGAAGGUCUUCGGAUUGUAAAGCACGUUAAGGUGGGAGGAAGGGCAGUAAGCGAAUACCUUGCUGUUUUGACGUUACCGACAGAAUAAGCACCGGCUAACUCUGUGCCAGCAGCCGCGGUAAUACAGAGGGUGCAAGCGUUAAUCGGAAUUACUGGGCGUAAAGCGCGCGUAGGUGGUUCGUUAAGUUGAAUGUGAAAGCCCCGGGCUCAACCUGGGAACUGCGACGAAAACUGGCGAGCUAGAGUAGGGCAGAGGGUGGUGGAAUUCCCUGUGUAGCGGUGAAAUGCGUAGAUAUAGGAAGGAACACCAGUUGCGAAGGCGACCACCUGGGGUCAUACUGACACUGAGGUGCGAAAACGUGGGGAGCAAACAGG